CCCCCACGUCCCCCAUGAUGUCCCCCACGUCCCCCAUGAUGUCCCCCACGUCCCCCAUGAUGUCCCCCACGUCCCCCAUGAUGUCCCCCACGUCCCCCCACGUCGCCCACGUCCCCCAUGUCCCCCACGUCCCCCAUGAUGUCCCCCACGUCCCCCAUGAUGUCCCCCACGUCCCCCAUGUCCCCCACGUCCCCCAUGUCCCCAGUUAUUACAACUAUAGGUGCAAACUUGUGGACACCUAAAAAGUAACGUACAGUAGUCCACACUCCUGCUGAAUAUCCCUGAUCUGACCUGUUUCAAUACACAGAGACAAUAUCCCUCUUAGCACCUCACACUCCUGCUGAAUAGUCCAGAACAGGACACACACAUGUCUGAUACACUGUACAAUAAAGGCCUGAUUGGUGAAAUGCUGCAGAGAUGGAUGUCCUUCUGGAAGGUUCUCCCAUCUCCACAGAGGAACUCUUGUUACAGUUUGUUCUUCUGGAAGGUUCUCCCAUCUCCACAGAGGAACUCUUGUUACAGGUUGUCAUGUACCUUUUUGAAUAGUCCUGCUGAAUAGUCCAGAACAGGACACACGCAUGUCUGAUACGGUUUGGAAUACGUAGCAUAAUCAAUAUCUUUGAGUGGUUUUUGUUCUUCCUUAUAACUCCCCCAAGAGCUCUACUUGCUGAGUCGGCCAGGACAGAUGUUCUGUUUUGAAAGGUAAUAUGUUCAUGAAUUAAAAUACCCACAUAUUUAUAAUUGCUAGUAAACUCAAGAAUGUCUUCACUAAAACAAAACUGAAAAACACUUCUCUUAGUAACUGUUUUUCUCAAAUGCAUUAUCUGUGUUUCUGUCUGGUUGAUCAUGAGUCUCCAUCUUUACACCAAUUCAUUAUCUGUGUUUCUGUCUGGUUGAUCAUGAGUCUCCAUCUUUACACCAAGUCAUUAUCUGUGUUUUAGUCUGGUUGAUCAUGAGUCUCCAUCUUUACACCAAGUCAUUAUCUGUGUUUUAGUCUGGUUGAUCAUGAGUCUCCAUCUUU
ensembl:lncRNA